rnacentral:rRNA from 1 species
GUUGUAUGGUUAAGUGACUAAGCGUACACGGUGGAUGCCUUGGCAGUCAGAGGCGAUGAAAGACGUAGUAACUUGCGAUAAGCCCAGAUUAGGUAGUAACAACCAUUUGAGUCUGGGAUUUCUGAAUGGGGAAACCCACGUGCAUAAGCACGUAUCCUUACCUGAAUACAUAGGGUAAGGAGGCGAACCGGGGGAACUGAAACAUCUAAGUACCCCGAGGAAAAGAAAUCAACCGAGAUUCCGAAAGUAGCGGCGAGCGAAAUUGGACUAGCCCUUAAGCUUUACACGCGUUAGACGAACGGUCUGGAAAGUCCGACGAUACAGGGUGAUAGUCCCGUAGUUGACGACGUGUGUUCAGUGAAAUCGAGUAGGGCGGGACACGUGAUAUCCUGUCUGAAUAUGGGGGGACCAUCCUCCAAGGCUAAAUACUACUGACUGACCGAUAGUGAACCAGUACCGUGAGGGAAAGGCGAAAAGAACCCCUGUGAGGGGAGUGAAAUAGAACCUGAAACCGUGUACGUACAAGCAGUAGGAGCAGGCUUGUCCUGUGACUGCGUACCUUUUGUAUAAUGGGUCAGCGACUUAUAUUCAGUGGCAAGGUUAACCAUCUAGGGGAGCCGUAGGGAAACCGAGUCUUAACUGGGCGUUCAGUCUCUGGAUAUAGACCCGAAACCAGGUGAUCUAGCCAUGGGCAGGUUGAAGGUUGAGUAACAUCAACUGGAGGACCGAACCGACUAAUGUUGAAAAAUUAGCGGAUGACUUGUGGCUAGGGGUGAAAGGCCAAUCAAACCUGGAGAUAGCUGGUUCUCCCCGAAAGCUAUUUAGGUAGCGCCUCGGACGAAUACUACUGGGGGUAGAGCACUGUUAAGGCUAGGGGGUCAUCCCGACUUACCAACCCUUUGCAAACUCCGAAUACCAGUAAGUACUAUCCGGGAGACACACGGCGGGUGCUAACGUCCGUCGUGGAGAGGGAAACAACCCAGACCGCCAGCUAAGGUCCCAAAUUACUACUAAGUGGGAAACGAUGUGGGAAGGCUCAGACAGCCAGGAUGUUGGCUUAGAAGCAGCCAUCAUUUAAAGAAAGCGUAAUAGCUCACUGGUCGAGUCGGCCUGCGCGGAAGAUGUAACGGGGCUAAGUAGUAAACCGAAGCUGCGGCAAUAUACUUUUGUAUAUUGGGUAGGGGAGCGUUCUGUAAGCGGUUGAAGGUGUGUGGUAACGCAUGCUGGACGUAUCAGAAGUGCGAAUGCUGACAUGAGUAACGAUAAAGGGGGUGAAAAACCUCCUCGCCGGAAGACCAAGGGUUCCUGUCCAACGUUAAUCGGGGCAGGGUAAGUCGACCCCUAAGGCGAGGCCGAAAGGCGUAGUCGAUGGGAAACGGGUUAAUAUUCCCGUACUUCUUACAAUUGCGAUGGGGGGACGGAGAAGGCUAGGUGGGCCUGGCGACGGUUGUCCAGGUUCAAGUGCGUAGGCUU